CACUUAGUAGAAAAGGCAACUUGAAGAAAUAGCAAUAAGUGAAUGCUGUAGAGGACAUAAACUCACAUACAUACAUACAUACAUACAUUUUAAGAGUCUUAUUCUGCACACAAAGCGUCUUAUUCUGCUAACACCCAAACCACUUCUCCUCGACCGAACACAAGUACCCACCACCCACCUCCCGCACCUUCAUCCUCGCUACAAGAAAAAAUCCUCCUGCCCCCGACCUAUCGCCGCCCCCCGCACCUCCACCUUCCCUCGUUCAAAUCCCCACCUCUUCCACCCCAACCUCCACCCGCCGGCCGCCCCACCCUUCCCGCCUUUUCCGGUGUGGCGCAACACACACGAGCCGCCGCCCCCACCCCCAGGCGCGGCGCGACCUACCCGAGUCGCCGCCCCAGCUCCCCAACUUAUCCGGCGUGGCGCGCACCACCGGAGCCGUCGCCUCACCCUCCCCACCUUCUUCAUGCGCGGCGCACCCCACCCGACAUGCCGCACCACCGGGAACGGAUCCGGCCGCCUGUGGAGUGGAUCCGGACACCCCGAGUGCAGCUCUCCUCCAGCGACCAACGGGUACCGCGGCCUUCGUCAGGGUCCUGGGCCUACCCAAGCGCCACCACCGUCUCCCUGCAUUCCCUCAGCGACCUCACCACGCCGGUCAACUACCCAGUCGUUCGUCAGGUAGCAGGGGGUGCUCCACCAUGCCUCCGCCGGCGAGAUGCUGGUGGUUCCCCCUCUCUCUGUAACCUCUCUUCCACCUACCUUCUGUCGACGAUGAUUCAGUGGACGACAGUGAAGUUCGGCUGAGCCUGCAGUUCAGCUCGCCGGCGUCUCUCUUGCAGUUUUAUCAUGUGGCAUAGCUUUUUGUUAGUGGCCGAGCAGUGCGGUUCAGCAGCAGCGUAGGUUCGUUGGCUUCCAUCGUGUAGUUCGCCGUGCCUCCCUCCUGUGCGGUUCAGAGGGACCAAAAAGAGGGUGUUUGUUAUCUUUAAAAGACCGACGCAGUUCGUUAAACAGUACCGAUGUACCUGGCUCAACAGCAGGUGGUGCGGCUUUGGGUGGAGAGAGGCCAGGUCGAGCGCGGCCAUCAACGAUGACUCCUUCCGGCCUGGAUCCAUGGCUGCAGGCGGUGGCUGGGCCACCCCCUCCUCCUCCUUUCUCUCCUCACAAGGAUCCACGAUGAGCCAGGUUCAUCCAUGGUGGAUUCUGGCAUCGGUCAGGUUGCAGGCUAGCGCUGCGAUGUAAUUCGCUGUGAUACAUGGUGUGGCUCACGUGGAUGCAGUUUGGAGCAUGAGAACAUGGAGUUUUAUGUUUUAUGUUUUUUUUGCAGAUCACAUCACUCAUGUACAGAAGAAAAUGUUCGUGUGGUUUGGUUCUGGAAUACAUACAGUUUAGUUUUAGGUUCUUCAAUUCAGAUGGGGACUGCAUUGUGUGCACACAGACGUCAAAGAGGACCUGAGCCCAACUUGUUUUUAAGGGGUGGUUCCUACAGUACUAUUUUUCAGGGAUAGUUGUAAAUUCUUGUAUUUUUCAAAUGGAAAAAGAAGUCAUUUUUACCAAACUGCACGACAUGAAGUUGCAGUGCACUCCGAUAUUAGAAGUCAAAAUUGGAACGAGUCGAGAUGCACUUGUAGAAAAUUUAGAAAAAGAACAAAAAUAAAAAUGGUGAUUCACUUGGUUC